rnacentral:rRNA from 1 species
UACGAAGGGUGCAAACGUUGCUCGGAAUUAUUGGGCGUAAAGGGCUCGUAGGCGGCCAACUAAGUCAAACGUGAAAUCCCUCGGCUUAACCGGGGAACUGCGUCUGAUACUGGAUGGCUUGAGUUUGGGAGAGGGAUGCGGAAUUCCAGGUGUAGCGGUGAAAUGCGUAGAUAUUCGGAGGAACACCAGUGGCGAAGGCGGCUCACUGGUCCGGUACUGACGCUGAGGUGCGAAAGCGUGGGGAGCAAACAGG